GAUGAACGCUAGCGGCAGGCUUAACACAUGCAAGUCGAGGGGCAGCAUGAGACGGAGAUUCGUCGAAGUCUUGAUGGCGACCGGCGCAAGGGUGCGUAACGCGUGAGCAACUUGCCCGUUUCUGGGGAAUAACCGGUGGAAACGCCGACUAAUACCCCAUAGUAUUGAGUUUAGGCAUCUUUACUCAAUUAAAGAAUUUCGGAAACGGAUAGGCUCGCGUGACAUUAGCUGGAUGGCGGGGUAACGGCCCACCAUGGCAACGAUGUCUAGGGGUUCUGAGAGGAAGGUCCCCCACACUGGAACUGAGACACGGUCCAGACUCCUACGGGGAGCAGCAGUGAGGAAUAUUGGUCAAUGGGCCGGGAGGCUGAACCAGCCAUGCCGCGU
rnacentral:rRNA from 1 species